GAUGAACGCUGGCGGCGUGCCUAAUACAUGCCAGUCGAGCGAACAGACGAGGAGCUUGCUCCUUCGACGUUAGCGGCGGACGGGUGAGUAACACGUAGGUAACCUACCUAUAGGACUGGGAUAACUUCGGGAAACCGGAGCUAAUACCGGAUAAUAUUUCGAACCGCAUGGUUCGAUAGUGAAAGAUGGCUUUGCUAUCACUUAUAGAUGGACCUGCGCCGUAUUAGCUAGUUGGUAAGGUAACGGCUUACCAAGGCAACGAUACGUAGCCGACCUGAGAGGGUGAUCGGCCACACUGGAACUGAGACACGGUCCAGACUCCUACGGGAGGCAGCAGUAGGGAAUCUUCCGCAAUGGGCGAAAGCCUGACGGAGCAACGCCGCGUGAGUGAUGAAGGUCUUCGGAUCGUAAAACUCUGUUAUUAGGGAAGAACAAACGUGUAAGUAACUGUGCACGUCUUGACGGUACCUAAUCAGAAAGCCACGGCUAACUACGUG
rnacentral:rRNA from 1 species